rnacentral:rRNA from 1 species
CCCUUCGGGGUGUGACUGCGUACCUUUUGUAUAAUGGGUCAGCGACUUAUAUUCUGUAGCAAGGUUAACCGUAUAGGGGAGCCGGAGGGAAACCGAGUCUUAACCGGGCGUUAAGUUGCAGGGUAUAGACCCGAAACCCGGUGAUCUAGCCAUGGGCAGGUUGAAGGUUGGGUAACACUAACUGGAGGACCGAACCGACUAAUGUUGAAAAAUUAGCGGAUGACCUGUGGCUGGGGGUGAAAGGCCAAUCAAACCGGGAGAUAGCUGGUUCUCCCCGAAAGCUAUUUAGGUAGCGCCUCGUGAAUUCAUCUCCGGGGGUAGAGCACUGUUUCGGCUAGGGGGCCAUCCCGGCUUACCAACCCGAUGCAAACUGCGAAUACCGGAGAAUGUUAUCACGGGAGACACACGGCGGGUGCUAACGUCCGUCGUGAAGAGGGAAACAACCCAGACCGCCAGCUAAGGUCCCAAAGUCAUGGUUAAGUGGGAAACGAUGUGGGAAGGCCCAGACAGCCAGGAUGUUGGCUUAGAAGCAGCCAUCAUUUAAAGAAAGCGUAAUAGCUCACUGGUCGAGUCGGCCUGCGCGGAAGAUGUAACGGGGCUAAACCAUGCACCGAAGCUGCGGCAGCGAACGUAUCACCCAAGACAACUUUACGGAGUUGACGAUUGACGGAGCGAAGCGACGUCAAAGCGUUCAUUAAAGUCGAGUUGGCUUAGGGAUACGUUCGUUGGGUAGGGGAGCGUUCUGUAAGCCUGUGAAGGUGUGUCGUGAGGCAUGCUGGAGGUAUCAGAAGUGCGAAUGCUGACAUAAGUAACGAUAAAGCGGGUGAAAAGCCCGCUCGCCGGAAGACCAAGGGUUCCUGUCCAACGUUAAUCGGGGCAGGGUGAGUCGACCCCUAAGGCGAGGCCGAAAGGCGUAGUCGAUGGGAAACGGGUUAAUAUUCCCGUACUUGGUGUUACUGCGAAGGGGGGACGGAGAAGGCUAUGUUGGCCGGGCGACGGUUGUCCCGGUUUAAGCGUGUAGGUGUGUGUUCCAGGUAAAUCCGGUUCACUUUAACACUGAGGCGUGACGACGAGGCACUACGGUGCUGAAGCAACAAAUGCCCUGCUUCCAGGAAAAGCCUCUAAGCAUCAGGUAACAUCAAAUCGUACCCCAAACCGACACAGGUGGUCAGGUAGAGAAUACCAAGGCGCUUGAGAGAACUCGGGUGAAGGAACUAGGCAAAAUGGUGCCGUAACUUCGGGAGAAGGCACGCUGACACGUAGGUGAAGUGAUUUACUCAUGGAGCUGAAGUCAGUCGAAGAUACCAGCUGGCUGCAACUGUUUAUUAAAAACACAGCACUGUGCAAACACGAAAGUGGACGUAUACGGUGUGACGCCUGCCCGGUGCCGGAAGGUUAAUUGAUGGGGUCAGCGUAAGCGAAGCUCCUGAUCGAAGCCCCGGUAAACGGCGGCCGUAACUAUAACGGUCCUAAGGUAGCGAAAUUCCUUGUCGGGUAAGUUCCGACCUGCACGAAUGGCGUAAUGAUGGCCAGGCUGUCUCCACCCGAGACUCAGUGAAAUUGAACUCGCUGUGAAGAUGCAGUGUACCCGCGGCAAGACGGAAAGACCCCGUGAACCUUUACUAUAGCUUGACACUGAACAUUGAGCCUUGAUGUGUAGGAUAGGUGGGAGGCUUUGAAGUGUGGACGCCAGUCUGCAUGGAGCCGACCUUGAAAUACCACCCUUUAAUGUUUGAUGUUCUAACGUGGACCCGUAAUCCGGGUUGCGGACAGUGUCUGGUGGGUAGUUUGACUGGGGCGGUCUCCUCCUAAAGAGUAACGGAGGAGCACGAAGGUUGGCUAAUCCUGGUCGGACAUCAGGAGGUUAGUGCAAUGGCAUAAGCCAGCUUGACUGCGAGCGUGACGGCGCGAGCAGGUGCGAAAGCAGGUCAUAGUGAUCCGGUGGUUCUGAAUGGAAGGGCCAUCGCUCAACGGAUAAAAGGUACUCCGGGGAUAACAGGCUGAUACCGCCCAAGAGUUCAUAUCGACGGCGGUGUUUGGCACCUCGAUGUCGGCUCAUCACAUCCUGGGGCUGAAGUAGGUCCCAAGGGUAUGGCUGUUCGCCAUUUAAAGUGGUACGCGAGCUGGGUUUAGAACGUCGUGAGACAGUUCGGUCCCUAUCUGCCGUGGGCGCUGGAGAACUGAGGGGGGCUGCUCCUAGUACGAGAGGACCGGAGUGGACGCAUCACUGGUGUUCGGGUUGUCAUGCCAAUGGCACUGCCCGGUAGCUAAAUGCGGAAGAGAUAAGUGCUGAAAGCAUCUAAGCACGAAACUUGCCCCGAGAUGAGUUCUCCCUGAGACUUAGAGUCUCCUGAAGGAACGUUGAAGACGACGACGUUGAUAGGCCGGGUGUGUAAGCGCAGCGAUGCGUUGAGCUAACCGGUACUAAUGAACCGUGAGGCUUAACCUUACA